rnacentral:rRNA from 1 species
AGUAACGCGUAUCCAACCUUCCGUAUACUCAGGGAUAGCCUUUCGAAAGAAAGAUUAAUACCUGAUGGUAUGAUGAGAUUGCAUGAUAGCAUCAUUAAAGAUUUAUCGGUGUACGAUGGGGAUGCGUUCCAUUAGGUAGUAGGCGGGGUAACGGCCCACCUAGCCUACGAUGGAUAGGGGUUCUGAGAGGAAGGUCCCCCACAUUGGAACUGAGACACGGUCCAAACUCCUACGGGAGGCAGCAGUGAGGAAUAUUGGUCAAUGGACGAGAGUCUGAACCAACCAAGUAGCGUGAAGGAUGAAGGUCUUACGGAUUGUAAACUUCUUUUAUAAGGGAAUAAAACCUCCCACGUGUGGGAGCUUGUAUGUACCUUAUGAAUAAGCAUCGGCUAACUCCGUGCCAGCAGCCGCGGUAAUACGGAGGAUGCGAGCGUUAUCCGGAUUUAUUGGGUUUAAAGGGAGCGCAGACGGGUCGUUAAGUCAGCUGUGAAAGUUUGGGGCUCAACCUUAAAAUUGCAGUUGAUACUGGCGUCCUUGAGUGCGGUUGAGGUGUGCGGAAUUCGUGGUGUAGCGGUGAAAUGCUUAGAUAUCACGAA